UACGGGGGGUGCGAGCGUUGUCCGGAAUCACUGGGCGUAAAGGGCGCGUAGGUGGUUUGAUAAGGGUGUGGUGAAAGUCCGGAGCUCAACUCCGGAUCUGCCGUGCCGACUGUCAAACUCGAGGGCUGUAGAGGCAGACGGAAUUCCGGGUGUAGCGGUGGAAUGCGUAGAGAUCCGGAAGAACACCGGUGGCGAAGGCGGUCUGCUGGGCAGUAGCUGACGCUGAGGCGCGACAGCGUGGGGAGCAAACAGG
rnacentral:rRNA from 1 species